AAGGCGGGAAGGGCACUUGUCCUCCUGGUGGCAGGGGCAGGAGACAGGUUCCUCCUCGCUCCCGGCUCCCCAGGUGCCGCACUCAAGCUCCCCAGAGCCAUGGGCUCGUGGCCCCUUUCCUGAAGCCCAGGGAGAGAGACAGAGAUGAAGUCUGCCAGGGCGCAGCCUGGAAACCCGUCUUGAACAAGGGCAGGUGUGUGGGGUGGUUAAGACUCAAACUCCGGUCUGGAUUCACGGCCUGGCUCUGCCCUUUACACACUGUGUGGCCUCAGACAAGUCACUUCACCGCUCUGAACCUCCGUUUUCUCGUCUGCAAAAUGAAGUGAUGAAUUCCCACAUUGCAGGGUCAGUGGGAUUUAAAAAGCCUCAGGCCCAGUGCCCAGUAGGGCACACAGGAGACAGUUCUCUGGGGCCGGGGUCUGCUCACGUUCUUUCCUCCUGGGGGGGCAAGUGGGGCUGGGCCAAAGGGCCAACUGGAGCUGCCCGUGAGACAGAGCAGUGAGGCCUGGAGGCGCCAAGACUUCGAGGCCCAGGCCCAUCUCCAGCCACAUCUGAAACCCACCAGUGGGACAGGCCGGGGUGCGGCCCCCCAAUUACUCCCUUUCUCUGUCAUGACCGCUCAUGGCUCCUCCUCUCAGUUAGGGCGUCUGCAGCACCCAGCACACCUGGCCAGACCCGGAAGGACUGGUGCUGCCCGAGGCAUCCACUGGCCAGGGGGAAAAGGAUGAGAAAAGUCCCCACAGAUGUGGGAAGAGCUUCCAGUUUCUCGUCAAACUUUGAACAUUUUCUCAGGCCGCCGCCAGAGCGAAGGACAGCGCGGAUCCCACAGUGUGGAAUCAGGAUGGAAAAGCCCUUUAAUCAAAGACGUUAUCGAUUAUUUAGAAGGAAAACAAAAGGAAUGUCGCGGGGCGAGCCAAGCUCCCUACACGUCCCUCGGAUGUUGCCACCCCCCGUCCUCAGCACGUGCCAGGACGGAGGCGACAGCCCCACCCCCGUCCUCAUCCAGCACGGGACAGACAGCAUAAGAAUCCAGAAUGAGGAUGCCAGGCAGGAAUGAGCCAACCCUCACCGUCCACGCUCAGGAGGCUGGAGGAGCGCCGCGGUCUGUUCACCCGGCAGAUCCGACUGCAAGAGUGACAGACACCAGAGCAGCCACCCCAGCGGGGACGGCUCUCCAGAACAGAGCCUCAGUGGAAGGGGAGCUGGUCGCAGAUGCAAACGUAUGAGGGACGCCAUCCGUACAGUCACUCCCACAAGCAAAGCAGCACCCCAAAUCCCUCGGGGGGUGUGUGUGUAUAAAAGCUAAAGAUGUGGUGCAAGCACUUUGGGAAACUGGCCAUAGCUUCAAAAACUAAAUACAGGCAUGCCCUGUCUCUGGCAGUUCCACUCUGGAAUAUACACUAGAAGAAACGCAUUCUCGUGUCCACCAAAAGCUGUGAACGAGAAAGUUCACAGAAAUGGGGAAGAACGCACGUCUGCGUAGACAGCAGGGCAGUUAAACCAUCUGUGGUCUGUUGAAACAGUGGAACGCUACGCAGCCGUGAAAAGGCAUGAAGCACUGACACGAAACACGGACUGAGCUCACGGGCACGACGUCGAGGGAAAGUGCCUGAUGCAAAGAGCACACACGGAUGGACGCCAUUUACACGAAGUUCAAGGACAGCAAAACCAAGGGCUCAAACGGGUCUGUGACUUGAUCCGGGUGGUGAUCCCACGGGCUCUCAAAAUUGCCCAGUUAGAUUCGGGCAUCUGACCGCACUUUAUCCGUCCAUCCGACAAACACCAGGACAAAGAUUCACGUGGCAUCUUGAGCACCAGAUCCAGGGGCGCAGCAACUUUUAGGAGAGAUACAAAUGGGGGCAGGGCAAACUGGGGUCACCUGUUUUGAGGUGUUUCCUUCUUAGGCUGAGUGAUGGCUGUAUAGAAAUUUAUUUUAUUAUCCUUGAAACUUUUUUGAAGUGUAAAGUAUUUCAUUGAAAACCAAACCAAAAACUAGACCCAUUUCCAGAGCUUCUCCUGCUCCAGAGCGUGCCGUGGCUCCCUGCUGCCUGCGGGCCGAGGCCUACCCUCCUCUUGCAUGCCAUUCGAGGCCCCGUCCUGGGCCUCACCCUGUCUUUCCAGCCUCCUCUCUCGCCUCUCCCCAGCAGCCGAGCUGGUCGCCUCGCUCUUCCCCUAACACGCCUCCCACAUUCCCGUCUCCUCGCCUUCCUCCCACCUGGAAUGCCUCCUCCUUCCUGCUGCUUCCUCUGUGCCAGGCACAGGCCGCGGGCUGUCGGCUAUUAACCCCUGAAGCCGGGGGCCGAGCCAUGGUGAGACUGGGGCAUCGCUUUCAGACCCAAAUCAUCUCCGCUGCCACCCCCAAAGCCACCCCAAUUAAUCCAAGCACAAAAAAAAAAUGCUGUGCCCACGGUUCCAAGACAAAUCCCCCCACACCACAUUUCCUGAGUGCCUCCGAUACAGAAAUCUGGCCCACCGCCGGGUUUGGUCUUCACUCAUCCCUAAGGAUUGGGUGUUUAUCACUCUCAUUUUACAUAGGGGGCAACUAAGGCUCAGAGAGGGCAAGUGACUUGUUCAAACACUCAGCAAAGACUGUCUUGGUCCUGAGAUCUUUUUCUCUGAAAGCUUCCAGUCAUGACUGACUCCCAAGCUUGUUCCUGCCUCAGGGCCUUUGCACUCACUAUUCCCGCUCCUGGAAUGCCCUUUUCCCAGAUCUUCCUGUGCCCAGCUCCUUCUCAUCAUUCUAUUCCCUGAAUUCAGGUCAGAGCAGGCACCUUCCCAGAAGCCUGCUCCCACCCCCGUGUAAAGUAAUCCUACCCCAUCUUUCUCUGUCACAUCUCCACAUUUUAUUCCAGUCAAAUAACUUAGCACUAUCUGAAUUGUUCCACAUAUUUAUUCAUUCACUUCCACACUACGUGCCGCAUGCACAUCCCUUUAGGAUGUCCACACCACAAGGCAGGGUUUUGCCUGUCUUGUUCACUGUUGUGUCCCAGGGCCUGGUGCAGUAGAUGCCCGGUAAGUGAGGCAUCUGGCUGAGUGUGCCUACCAGCGUCCCACCGCAAGGAUACGGCAGAGAAGGCAGUCAGGGACCGUCUUGGGCCUGAAUCUUUCUCUUCACCAAUCAGCUCUCCCCAGGUCCAGGGCUGCACUGGGUCCAAAGAAACAGGAGAGAGAGGGGAAAACAGGCCAGGCCAUGCAGCCAGGCAGGCCCCCACCACAACCCACCCGACAGGUUGAAAGGGCCUCACAUCCCACCGAAAACAUGAAUUUUUUGCUGUUAAUAUUUCUGAGUUUGUGUAAUGGUGUGAUUUUGCCCUGAUCCUGUCGCCAAUUUUUAGUUCUCAGUUUCCUGUUUGCAGUGUGGCUCCAUUUCUCCAGAUUUUUAGCAUUUUCAGGUGCUUCUAAAGCUCAUAUGGCCAGACAGGGUAGAGACCAGAACAGAGAAAGUCAGAGAGAGACCCCAAGAGACAGAAGGAGAGAAACUGAGGCAGAAAAGAGAGAAACAGGUGGACAGAGAGAGACAGAUGGGGACAGAGAAAGACAGAGAUGGGGGGGGACCACAAGACAGCGCCAUCUGACUCGCAUGUCUCCUUCCAUACCACACACCUCAAUAACAACGACGACGACAGUAACAAUAACAAUAUUUAUUGAGCGCUUACUGUGUGCGAGCAUGUGCUACACGUGUUUGCACGUGAUCUUGUUUGACUCUCACAACCACCCUGUAAGGGGAACUGAGGCACAGCGAGGUCACCCAGCACACCCCCAGGCACAAAGCCAGCAGAUGGGGAAGCCAGGUUUGCCCCAGAACCAGGCUGAACCAUCUUCUCCAGCAGCGGGCCUUGGGGUGUCCGGGCUUGUUUUGGGGGAGCCCUUCUCAAAUUUGGCUGUGCCAGCUACCUGUCAUCCUGAUGCGACAGGGCCGGGCUGGGGCCCAGGACUCUGCAUUUCUAACAGCCCCAGGCGGGCCCGAUGCUCUGAGGCCCAGACCACGCUCCGGUUUAGAGGGGUCUGUCACCCCGAGGACCCAAUCAGCCACCACUCCAACCACCACCCACACCCAGGCCCUGGGGCCAUGGCAGCCCUCUCGUCUCAGUUCUUCCUUCUCAGCACUUCCUGUCCAUCUGUCAUCAGAUUCCCGGGAAUUCCCCGUGAGAGGCUUGCACAAAGAUGUUCAUUGUCGCAUUGUUUAUAGAAGGACAAAUUGGAAGCACUGAAAAGUCCACGGUAAGGGGCUAACUACACCGGGAUGGAUGCAGCCAUCCCAAAGAUGGCAGAGCAAAGCCCAAAACAUACGUGACGUCUGACCUAGCAGCUCCACUUCUAGGAACAAAUCCUACGGCCUUGCACGUGGGCACAGAUGCUUGCACAAGACUGUCUGUUGCAGCGCGUGGUGGUGAAAGCCUGCCAACUCCUGACGCCCACCGAGGCAGCGCUGGCCCAUUAGGUCAGCCUCCGUGAAGGAUGCUGCACAGGCUUAAGAGGAGCCCGCUCGGCACCCACGCGGACCGUCUCAGGAGCUGCUGCAAAGGGGAAAUAACCAGACGCGGAAACAGCGCGCACAUCUGCUGUCUGAGGGAAAACAGAAAGCAAAUAAAUGUUUUUGUUUGUAGGUACAGAGAGAAACGUCUGGAAAGACUGUCACCAAAUUGUUCACACUGGAGUUGCCACUGUUCAUGAACUACACGCUUUAACUCAUUUAAUCUUCACAAGCGGGCAGGUGGACGGACUGGUAUUGUCCUCAUUUCACAGAUGGGGAAACUGAGGCCGGAGCAGUGAGGCCCCCUGCCCAAGGUCAGCCAGGGGGCAGGCAGAGCUGGGAUCCGAACCACAGCUGUCAGUCACACAGCCCUCUCAAUUCAGACGUGGUUGCUUCAAGUUUUGGGCAUUAUUGGAAAUCGAGGCAAUGAACCCAAGUGUCUCUCUCUUUCUCCCCACCCCUCUCUCUCUGUCGUUUUAAACAAAGCUUUUAAGAAAACGCCCUCAUGGAGCCGGCCUGGUGGCAUCGUGGUUAAGUUCACAUGUUCCACUUCGGCAGCCCAGGGUUUGUCAGUUCGGAUCCCAGGUGCAGACCUGUGCACUGCUUGGCAAGCCAUGCUGUGGCGGCGUCCCACAUACAAAAUAGAGGAAGAUGGGCACGGAUGUUAGCUCAGGGCCAGUCUUCCUCACAAAAGAAAUAAAUAAAUAAAAUGUAAAAACAAAAAGAGUGUGUUAUAUAGUCAAGCAAGGACAGAGAGAACGUUCCAGAGAGAAGGACACCAAAGAGACUUGCCACCGAAUGCAGGGCCUGACCCUUGAUUGGAGUCUGGACCGGGGGAAAAAGUAGCUAUAAAGGACACUUGGAGCAAUCCCAGGAUUCAGAUGUGGCCCGGCUCUCAGUUGACAUGACUGAGUGGAUGCUUGGCUCCUCGGGGCGCCGGGCACCGCGGUUUGUGGAAAACGCCCUCGUGCUUUGGAGACGCUCCCCGGAGGGUUUAGGGUGAAGG
ensembl:lncRNA